rnacentral:rRNA from 1 species
UACGAAGGGUGCAAGCGUUAAUCGGAAUUACUGGGCGUAAAGGGUGCGUAGGCGGUUCGUUAAGUCUGUCGUGAAAUCCCCGGGCUCAACCUGGGAAUUGCGUUGGAGACUGCAAGGCUGGAGUCUGGCAGAGGGGGGUAGAAUUCCACGUGUAGCAGUGAAAUGCGUAGAGAUGUGGAGGAACUCCGAUGGCGAAGGCAGCCCCCUGGGUCAAGACUGACGCUCAUGCACGAAAGCGUGGGGAGCAAACAGG